CACCACCUACGGGGGGCAGCAGUAGGGAAUCUUCCACAAUGGACGAAAGUCUGAUGGAGCAACGCCGCGUGAGUGAAGAAGGGUUUCGGCUCGUAAAGCUCUGUUGGUAGUGAAGAAAGAUAGAGGUAGUAACUGGCCUUUAUUUGACGGUAAUUACUUAGAAAGUCACGGCUAACUACGUGCCAGCAGCCGCGGUAAUACGUAGGUGGCAAGCGUUGUCCGGAUUUAUUGGGCGUAAAGCGAGUGCAGGCGGCUCAAUAAUGCUGAU
rnacentral:rRNA from 1 species